rnacentral:rRNA from 1 species
AUUGAACGCUGGCGGCAGGCCUAACACAUGCAAGUCGAACGAGUGGCGGACGGGUGAGUAAUGUCUGGGAAACUGCCCGAUGGAGAGGGAUAACUACUGGAAACGGUAGCUAAUACCGCAUACCAUCGGAUGUACCCAGAUGGGAUGAGCUAGUCGGUUGGGUAACGGCUCACCUAGGCGACGAUCCCUAGCUGGUCUGAGAGGAUGACCAGCCACACUGGAACUGAGACACGGUCCAGACUCCUACGGGAGGCAGCAGUGGGGAAUAUUGCACAAUGGGCGCAAGCCUGAUGCAGCCAUGCCGCGUGUAUGAAGAAGGCCUUCGGGUUGUAAAGUACUUUCAGCGGGGAGGCGUUACCCGCAGAAGAAGCACCGGCUAACUCCGUGCCAGCAGCCGCGGUAAUAC